CCUACGGGAGGCAGCAGUGAGGAAUAUUGGUCAAUGGGCGAGAGCCUGAACCAGCCAAGCCGCGUGAGGGAAGAAGGUACAGCGUAUCGUAAACCUCUUUUGUAAGGGAACAAAGGCGGGGACUAGUCCCCGGAUGAGGGUACCUGAAGAAAAAGCAUCGGCUAACUCCGUGCCAGCAGCCGCGGGAAUGCGGAGGAUGCGAUCGUUAUCCGGAUUGAUUGGGUUUAAAGGGUGCGCAGGCGGCCUGUUAAGUCAGCGGUAAAAGCCCGGGGCUCAACCCCGGCGAGCCGUUGAAACUGGCGGGCUGGAGUUGGAGAGAAGUACGCGGAAUGCGCGGUGUAGCGGUGAAAUGCUUAGAUAUCGCGCAGAACCCCGAUUGCGAAGGCAGCGUACCGGCUCCACACUGACGCUGAGGCACGAAAGCGUGGGUAUCGAACAGGAUUAGAUACCCGGGUAGUC
rnacentral:rRNA from 1 species